rnacentral:lncRNA from 1 species
ACAGGUUAUGCUGUGAGAUGCAGAAAAGGGAUUCUGGUUACUUUGGGGGCAGAUUCUGCAAUAAAAGCGCAGAUACUGGCAAGGGCUCCACCACCCAGGGAGGAAUUCAUGAUAAUGGCAUAAAGCAUGGCAAAAAAGAAGGAAGAAGUAGAAGUAUGUCUAAGGAUAAAAGUGCCACUUUGAUCAAAACUAUUAAAAAUAGGUAGGAAUGCUGAAUAAAUAUGAACUUAGACCCUGAAUUCUCAUUUUGGGCGUAAUAGACUUGAAAUGGCCGCUGAAAUUAUACUAUCAAUGAAAUGAAAUUAGUCAUAUUAAAUGUCGUAAUCAUUUAAUCGUAUUAAAUAUACCAAUAUA